rnacentral:lncRNA from 1 species
ACUUCCUGCUUAACUUGAGUGUGCCCUAUGUAACUGUAACAUGCUGUGUUCAAAUGUCAUAUCUUCCAGGUGAUCACAAUGAUUCUCUUCCUGUUUCCAUGGUGUGUCCAUGGGCUUUGAGAUAUGCCACCCUGUCCACUACUCAACACAGUGACGUGGGAUGGAAGGAAUUAUCUCUAAAUCAUGGAUUCAUUCAGGGAAAGCAAUGCCCUUCGUCCUUGAAAAACAGUUAACAACGGGCACCAUUGGAGCACACCUGGAGUCUCUGUGCAUAUGGAACCGAUAAGAACUUCUCAGCAGUCCCCGAAGACUCUUUAAAAUCACCUUAGACCUGAGAAAGAAACUAAAGGAAGAUGCUUAACUAUCACCGUCAUGCCCAAGGCACUUUCGCUACUUGCUACUUUAAUUUGCAGAAAGAAAGAAAAAAGAAAACUCUACAGCUUUAUUAUAUGCAGCACAUAGACUAUUAUCUCUUGAUAAUAACCUUAAAUAAAUGCCAAACACAGAGGUCUAAAAUUAUUCCUUAGCU